UCUUUGAUAGUAUAAUGGUCAGUACGCCCGCUUGUCACGCGGGAGACCUGGGUUCAAUUCCCAGUCAGAGAG
rfam:Plicaturopsis crispa FD-325 SS-3 unplaced genomic scaffold PLICRscaffold_8, whole genome shotgun sequence.